rnacentral:misc_RNA from 1 species
UUCUCGCACAGUACCCGCUGGA